rnacentral:rRNA from 1 species
UACAGAGGGGGCAAGCGUUGUUCGGAAUUACUGGGCGUAAAGGGCGCGUAGGCGGCCUGUUAAGUCAGACGUGAAAUCCCCGGGCUCAACCCGGGAACUGCGUCCGAUACUGGAAGGCUUGAAUCCGGGAGAGGGAUGCGGAAUUCCAGGUGUAGCGGUGAAAUGCGUAGAUAUCUGGAGGAACACCGGUGGCGAAGGCGGCAUCCUGGACCGGUAUUGACGCUGAGGCGCGAAAGCCAGGGGAGCAAACGGG